GCGGCGGCACGUGGGACGGAUCUCUUGGAUUUACCCGUAACGAGGAGCGGCGCACCCCAGGAGCCCCGGCAGCACCCCAGGAGCCCCGGCAGCACCCCAGGAGCCCCGGCAGCACCCCAGGAGCCCCGGCAGCACCCCAGGAGCCCCGGCAGCACCCCAGGAGCCCCGGCAGCACCCCAGGAGCCCCGGCAGCACCCCAGGAGCCCCGGCAGCACCCCAGGAGCCCCGGCAGCACCCCAGGAGCCCCGGCAGCACCCCAGGAGCCCCGGCAGCACCCCAGGAGCCCCGGCAGCACCCCAGGAGCCCCGGCAGCACCCCAGGAGCCCCGGCAGCACCCCAGGAGCCCCGGCAGCACCCCAGGAGCCCCGGCAGCACCCCAGGAGCCCCGGCAGCACCCCAGGAGCCCCGGCAGCACCCCAGGAGCCCCGGCAGCACCCCUCCCCCGGAGGGGGAUCCCGGCGCGCCACCCUCCCCCGGAGGGGGAUCCCGGCAGCACCCCUCCCCCGGAGGGGGAUCCCGGCAGCACCCCUCCCCCGGAGGGGGAUCCCGGCGCGCCACCCUCCCCCGGAGGGGGAUCCCGGCGCGCCACCCUCCCCCGGAGGGGGAUCCCGGCGCGCCACCCUCCCCCGGAGGGGGAUCCCGGCGCGCCACCCUCCCCGGCAACAACCUGUUGCCAUGUAUGGCGAUUUGUAUCAGUCACAAGCACACAACCCCUGCUAGUAUUAAUGGUGUUUAAGACGUUCUACAUGUACGGCGGACCGCAUCCGUCGCAAGCACGCGCAUAUAACCCCCAAAUGCCCCAUGAUGAGAAGCACAGCCACGCGUCAAAAAACUUUAAAAACAUCGUUAUCCAAUAUCAUUAAAAACCACACCGAAAUUUACACAGGUAGCACGUGACCGUGUUAGUGUCACCCACUGUACACAAGGCGUGUCGUAUAUGUAGUAUAGGUAUUUGAUGAGGCGGAAGCAUAUCCCGCUUCCAGCGAACGGAAAUAAGAAUCAUCCGUUCCAGCAUUUAUUCAAAGGGGGCACAGAGGAUUCACAUUGUUUAGAGAGAGUUUUUCUUAGUCACCAUUCCAUACUUGGGCAGUAUUGGCCUACGAUUUGGGCGACGUUUCAGGCUGGUCUAUUCUCCGUCCACUUUUCCCCGGCUAUUCUGUCCCAGCAUAGGCUCUUGAAAUAAACAAUGUUUACCGAGUAAAA
rnacentral:lncRNA from 1 species